ACGGAUGUUGCUGUUUAGUUUUCUAUUCCCACUAAACACUGGAUAGAGGCUGAAUAGCAUUCUUUGCCUUACCCUCUGAAUGGCCAUUCAGAGCACGCGAUUGCUGCAAGAGGAGGGAUGGAGACUUUGAAGCCUGCUUUAUAAAGCUUAUACAUAACAAGGGCUUCUGCAUAUAGAAAUGCUCUUAAGAGUUUCAUAGAAGAAUAUCAAGAAGGUAUCCAGUAGAUCAUGGGUAAAAAGGAAGAUUCUUCUAAAGUACAGCAAGAAGGCAAUACUGAUAAAAAGUCAACUUGAUAGUUGAUAAGUGCAUAAUUGGAGAUGCAUGUGAGUACUUCUCCAGCAUACCUAUUAUAGAUACAAGUUUAGAGAUUUGGUGGAGCUGGGUUGGCAUGAAAUCACAAGAAUGAUAUAUGUCCUGAGAAUUUUCCUGUAUGGAGAAAGUGAGCUUUAGAAACUACAAAUAUAAUGGGAAUCUCCAUUGACAAUGGUGAUGCUCUUUCAUUCUUGUCAUUUCAUGUUUAUUAAUUUUUGUUAUAGUUUAGUAUUCAACAUGCUUGAGCUUGGAGAAAUGUAAAAGAACCUUAAUGCUUUAUGUCUUUGUUAAGUGCAACUGAAGAAUUACUUAGAUAUCUGCUGCCAACUGCUUGAUGAUCGAGUUUGAUGAAUGAGUUACAAUCUGUUCAUUUUUGCUA